UAGGCCCGGUACUCCCUCUCUCUUGGCUCUGGUUUUGGUCUCCACCGGCUCCAGAGGGAAACAUCUGGCUCUUUAGCUGCUAAAUGCUCCACCAUCACGAUUAAUGAACUUUGUCUUCCUGUUAUUAUUCUUUGUCUCACGCUUUCAUUUGUAACUAACUACUCUUAUUUGUUCCAUUUUAUACCAGCUCCCAUAAUACUUUGGGGGACGUAAACAGGAAAUAUAAUGUUGCCAUGGAUUCAUUGCCUGUGAGCUACAGCUUGAUCCCUGUGUUUUUAGCCUGUGUUAGUUCAAAUCUAGUCAAACUGUCCCGUUAAAAGCUGCUGAACCAGCCGUGAUCAGCUCCUGUUGCAGUGCAGCCGUGGACGUAGAGACAACUGUCACCGGAUCACUGUGACACUGAGGGAAACUUAAAAACAUGAAGAUUCUGAAUGAAGUUCUGCAGCCUCUUGUUCCUCUGGUUUCUCAGUGGAUUUCUGGAGCUUUGUUCUGGAGGGAUGUCACAGGUCACGACGUCCUCAGGAAGUGGACGUCUCACCGAAUCAUAUCAACGUGUUCCAGGAAUGAGCUUGACCCGGUGUCCAGCAGAGAAGAAACCUAAACCAGAUCAGCAUUUGCCGUGACCCCCUUUGCCUUUAAACCAGCACCCGUUCUCCGUGAGGAGGAUUCACAAAAUGUUGAACUACCCCUUUAACGUACAGUCUGGAUGAAUCAUUACAGGUGUGGUGUCCUGACCGAUCCCCGUUCAGCUCUGAGACAAACAGACAGUUGAACCUUCACAGAUCUUCAAAAAUCAGCGCGCAGCAGCAAGAACCCCGAGUGAGUUUCUGGAACCGGUCUUUGGUUCGCGGAACCCAGAACCACUGAAUUUAAAUCAAAUCGAUUAGUAACAGAAAGACGCUGAGCAGAAAGACUUUUUCUUUUUUAGUGAUAAAACUGAGACUCCGUUUCAAAACCAACGACUUGUUUCCUGACAUAAUUUCAGUUUGAGACAUUUAAAAAGACAUUCGGGCCGAGUCGUGACUGCAGCAGCUUCUUACCUGUGUCCCAGGGAGUCCGGGUCUCUCCGUCGAGAAUCCUGAAACUCAGGUUACUGUCAGCCCGUGAUGUCACCGGGGGGCGGGUCUCACGCCUGAACGACGGCGGCUCCACAAAGUUGCCGGAUUGACAGAAACACCGGACGCUCUGUGCUGCAGCAUGGAGGAAAACUCCGGCUGAGCUCUGAGCUGGAGCAACAGACAGAAGCUCCAGCCGACAGGGGGGUCUUCUAGGGUCUACUCCCGUGCCGGGUUUGCGGAGUGACCCGGGUCGACCCGUCCGAUCUGUGGGUCUGAGAGGAGCAGUCAGCGGCCGGUGCCUUGCUCGGGGGCGUCUUUCCGGAGGCAGAGACGCGUGUUUGCCAUUUUUCAACCCGAGGACAGACAGGACCGAGGACAUUCCUGAGACAGCGGGUGAGCGCGCAGGGGAAGGUGUGAGGUGGUGGAUCCCGUUUGGCGGCUGGUCGUCGCGGCCUGCGAUUGGCUGGUUCGUCCGUGUUGUGCAACUCUGUUGGAGUGUGACGAAAGGACUUUUUCACCGUAUGGAAGCUCAUUUCAGCCAGAAAAGGCAAAAACCAAAUAGAUGAAAUGUGCACGAAGAAGCCGAUAAUAGACGGAUAACAAUUCUCACGGGCACGAAGACAGUCGCUCCCAAUGAUGAUUUAUUGAGUCAUACUUAUGAAAAAGUCAAAUAGUUUUCAGCUAAAAUUGUGGGACAGAGUCCAAAUAAAGACAGUCAACGUCAAAAUGACACCAAGUCAAAUUUACGCUUCCUCGACUUUAUUCGUUUGUCCAAAUGAUCAAGAUGAAAAAUUACGAGUUGCUAAAUCUAGAUGAUUCUAACUUAUGAGAAAAGAUUUUUUUAUUGAAAAAUUUCAGAUGCUAAUUCAAAUGUACAGGUUCUCUUAAGUCAGAAUUAUGAGACAGUAAAUCAGAGUUAUGUUUUUAAUCCUAAACUGUGACGUCACAAGUUACAAGCUGGCAGGUGAAAAUUAUGAGUCGUUAAACCAGGAUUAAGACACUGAAGCCAAAUUAUAAUGGACACAAUUAGGAAGUUAAAGUCAACAUAGUGAAUCUGGCUCAGGAGCCGGUGUCUCCUAAACCUCGAAGCAGCCGACGACGGGACGGAUCGGCCGGUUCACUAACGAGACACAAUCAG